ACCAAGAACUCCUGAACUUGAGAGUGGACGACUUCAAAGCUAGCUCUCACAGACUCACCUGGAAAAGAGUUCAGCUGCGCGUUCAUUGAACCGAGAGGCCAGAUCACCUAUGUGAGGCGGUGGGAACCAUAUGGAGAUUUAUAUUAGAACUUCAGCAAAGUGCACAGCUGCAGCCGGCAGAAGCCAGCUCUCGGGCUGACAGGCAAAUGAACCAGAUCGUGGACGGGGCCUCUGGGUGGCAGCUCCGGCCUUUUGGUUGUUGGACAACUAUAGUCAGAACUGAAAUGGAACAGGGGCAGGAGAAAUAACACACUUUUACUCCACGCAACUGUUGCUUUCACAUGAUCUUCAGGAAUGUAACUGGGAUAAUUGUCCAAAUUGAAUCCCAUACCCUGUCAUGGUACUGAUUAUUAAGGUGACUAUAUGAAAGGAUCACUCCAAAAUAACACAUACCAGAAUAGGAGUCCUGUCUUAACUGAGCAAUAUACACUAUGGAGAGAUCCUUCAAAACCCGUCGGGACGAAUAACAGAUGAAUUCAUAAAACUGUUCAUCUCUGUUAUCCUGAAUGGUCACUCAGACAACAUUUUACUCAACUAUAAAGGGGAACACUUAAAGUGCAUAUGAGAAGAGAAGAGAAUGACCACAGGAGAAAAUCAUCUCAGGUAAAACGAAAAGGCACAAAUGUAGAGAGUAAUUAAUCUUAGAAUAUUAAAGAGAAAAUGAUUAUGUCUGUGUUUGGUAUAAGAAAUGGUCCUUCCCUUUAUGAAGCUACGUAUUUGGGAUUUUCACUGAUGGUUUUCCUUCAAGAGUUUACAGUAUUACUUGCCUUUGUCAACCUUUUGUUUGGUUUUGUGAUCAAUGCCCAGUGUCCAUCAUUCUGAGGACAUAUGUGUAUGUUGAUUUAUACAAUUCAGGUACAAGAUGGUUGAAUAGGAAGCUAUUUAAUGAAAAGGAAAAUAUGUUCUCAGUGGUUAUACAUUAUAAAAGGAAGUAAAAAUCUGAUAGAAAAGUAUAAGCUCAUAGUUUAUUUUUAAUCUUUUCCAUAUAUCUAGUAAGACAAUAAUGUCAAAGUAUAUUUUGUAGUAAUAAAAGCUACAGCCAGUGUUUCCUCUUUCUUUUUUUUAAACAUAAAAUGUAUAAAUAUAUAAGGAAAUACUUUUACUACAAUUGGAUGCAUGAUUGUUGAUUAUUUACUACAGUUUUAAUAAGUAGGAGAAUGAUUUGAAAAUAAAUAAUGGUGAAAAUUUGUGUAGGCCAAAUUAUCUGUAUUAAACUGGAGAAAAUACAUUCUAUUUUUAUUUAUUUCAAAACAUGCCAAAUCAUGAAGUAAUUACUAUGCAGUAUUAUUUUUCACAAUGAAGAUAUAAUUAAGAAAAGCUAAAUCAUUUUAGAUAUGAGUGCAAUGAUUAACGAUUGUACAACUUAUAAUUUUGCUUCAGAUGAGCUUAGAAUCCUAAAAAUGUACAUGUAACUGGCUUCAUGUGUGCUUACUGGCUUGCUUUCUUACAGUGUAGUAGCUGACAGAAUUAAGAAUCAUUUAUUUCAUUUCAACCUGUUGAACAGAGGAAUUAUAUGUAGCUGUGUAUUUUGUUGAAAGGAUAUAGUUCUUGGGAAAUAGAUUUAAAUGUGUUUUGUUGAAAGGGAAUGUAUGCUCCUUGGUGUGAUAUAAGCGACUACAAAUAUUCCAGAAUAGCAGGAAUAACACCGAUCAUGUCAUUGAUUUUAGGGUUUUUUGAUACCAUAUCUUUUCCUCACUGCUGUAAAAGUUUAAUUUCAUCCCCACUGUAGGCACAUGUCUGUACAUCUAGAAUUUGUGGGUUUUGUGUUCUUUACCUAGUCAACAAGACCUCAUUUGUUUAUAAAAAGCUAUAAUGUGACUAAAUCUCAAAAAUCAUUAACUGAGUUUUAUGUGAAUAAAUACAGUCACUCUAGUGCAUAUACAGUUUAAUAACUUCCUUUUUAGUUGUAGACUUAUCAUACUAUAUCUGUGCCUCACAACAGUAUAAUUCAUAUGUACAUAUAUUAGGUUCUCAAUUAGGACAUUUUAACAACAACGUUAAAAUAUUCACAGUUUAAAACAAAAGCAAUCUUUAAAAAAGAAAAAAUCAAGAAGAAAAGAGAGAAGUAAGAAAA
rnacentral:lncRNA from 1 species